rfam:Myotis brandtii contig172901, whole genome shotgun sequence.
GGUGGUUCUCAGGUGACGCACCCCAGAAUUGGGCUCCCUCCUAUGGUUCCAGGGUGCGUCACCUGAGAACCGCC